UCAGUUAGCCAGAUGGUCGCUGUGUGCUUGUAGUGAGCACAGAGAGGAAAGUCCGAGCGUCAAAAGAACAUGGUGCAAGUUAACGACUUGUGGGGGCGACCCUAAGGAUAGUGCAACAGAAAUAGACUGCCACGAAAGUGGCGAUGGUGGAAAGGUAGAGUAAGAGCCUACCGGGGAGUUGGUGACAACUCUCGCUCUGUAAACCCCACCUGACGCAAGGUUAAGUUUGGAUAUAUGAGUGUUCUUUCUCUUCCAACAAUAAUACCGCUUGAACUUAUUGGUGACAAUAAGUCUGGAAAGAUGACCAUCAAAUACAGAACUCGGCUUACAGACUAACUGAUUUA
rnacentral:RNase_P_RNA from 1 species